rnacentral:rRNA from 1 species
UCGAGGAUCUUCCGCAAUGGGCGCAAGCCUGACGGAGCGACGCCGCGUGUGCGAUGAAGGCCUUCGGGUUGUAAAGCACUGUGGUAGGGGAGGAAAGCCGCAAGGUUUGACUGUACCCUGCCAGAAAGCACGGGCUAAGUUCGUGCCAGCAGCCGCGGUAAGACGAACCGUGCGAACGUUGUUCGGAAUCACUGGGCUUAAAGGGCGCGUAGGCGGGCGAGCAAGUCCGGGGUGAAAGCUUUCGGCUCAACCGGAAAAGGGCCUUGGAUACUGCUCGUCUCGAGGGAGGUAGGGGCCUGUGGAACUUCCGGUGGAGCGGUGAAAUGCGUUGAUAUCGGAAGGAACGCCGGUGGCGAAAGCGACGGGCUGGAUCUCUACUGACGCUGAGGCGCGAAAGCCAGGGGAGCAAACGG